CAUUUCUUCAGCUUCCUAUGGCUUUCUCCUCCUUCACUUCCUUGGGAAGAAGGACUUUGGUGGAAUGAACGGUAUUCUCUCUUUCGUUGAUGUGCCGGGAUGAGAAAGGAACAAGGUUGGCAGUUUGGCAACUUAAAUCAGAGGCAGUAACAGCUAUGGCUGACUGAACUCGAUGACAACGUGAGUUUUUUUGUGAAUACCCUGUGUGUGUCUCUGUCUCUCUCUCUUAUUAAUAGUAGUUUGGAUUUUGGUGAAAUCAUAUAUCCUUCUGCGUUUAAUGCUGUUUUGGACUUCCGGGAACCGUUUACUUUCUGGUAUUAUUAAAUGAGGGGCUGCUGGAGUCUUUCUUUUGUUGGGAUCAAUGUAGGGGCUGCUGGAGUCUUGGAAAAUAUAAUAUUUGGCUACAUUAUAUAAGGUCAAAUAAUUGCCAUAUUGGAUUUUCAAAGAGAAAGAAACUCACAGCUCAAAUGUCAUGAAAACUUAUGAUUGUAUUCUUGUUGCCUUGAGUAACACAAUCUGUAUGUAAGGUAAUGAUGUACUUGAUUGAUUGUCUUCUGUAUUUGAACAAUCUGAAAUCAGUAUGUCAACAGCCGUUAAUUUUGACUCAUGUCCUCUAGCUUUCAUGGAUUAGGAUCGAGUUCAGACCUUCAUGGUUAAGUGCAGUACUAAUCUUAUUUUAAGGAACAAAACUAGAUUAACACGGAUGUGUCGUUUAUUUGUUAUUUAUCCGUAAGCAAAUUCUGUGGUUGUGCUCAAAGUUCUUGGGGACACCUGUAAUUCUUUCUUAUUAUGUUAUUUUCUUCAAUAAAACGGAACUUUUUGUUUGUAUGCUCUCGUUGAAAUUGUAGUAUUAUUGCUCUGCUAAUUCAUUCCUGGUUUGGACAGGAUUGGCUCAAUUUCUGCAAAGAUAUUUUCUGCAUCUUCUUUCAUUGUUAGAACAAAAGCAAAACCCAGACAAUUGCUACUAUACAAGUCGGUACUGCAACUUGACUCCUCUAUCGUCUUAUGUACUCAGUUGUUCCCUCUUUUGUUUGCUUUCUUUUCUUUCAAAGUAGGUUUGUCGAGCUGUACUGAAUUGGUGAAUUCAACGUCUCGAUAAUGUUUAGCUACUACGCAACUAGGAUUCAAUUCAAAGUGAGAUUAAUAAUUAACUUGUUCAGUGCCAGCCACAAAUUUGUGAUUAACAUUUUGUGGUUUUCAUUGGGUCGAGAGUCGAACCUUAUGCAGAUCUUUGUUGAAUACCAAUCAUGUGGUGAUCUAUUUGGCAUGUUGUGUUUUGCUUUCACAUGACUUUGUUAAACUUUUUUGUCGUCUAUUUUUUGGACAUGUAAUUUUAGUGGAUGUGAAACUUCUUUGUUAUGACGCUGAUUUAGCAAAUUCCCUAAUAAUAUGG
rnacentral:lncRNA from 1 species